rnacentral:rRNA from 1 species
UACGGAGGAUCCGAGCGUUAUCCGGAUUUAUUGGGUUUAAAGGGUGCGUAGGUGGUCGUAUAAGUUAGAGGUGAAAGCUAUAUGCUUAACAUAUAAAUUGCCUCUAAUACUGUAUGACUAGAGACUAGUUGCAGAAGGCGGAAUGUGUAGUGUAGCGGUGAAAUGCUUAGAUAUUACACAGAACACCAAUUGCGAAGGCAGCUUUCUAAGCUAUGUCUGACACUGAGGCACGAAAGCGUGGGGAGCAAACAGG